CAUUUUUCCUUGCUUACUGAAGAUUCCAUCACUUUAUAUCAUGUACAACUGCCCUGUCCAACUCCGAACUGGCAGACCAUUAUCAGCAUUUGAAAACUGACAGUGCAAACCAGGAGAUGGGAAAGGACUUUGUAUAUCCUUGCACACAGAGAGGAGAUGAGUGUGUGAAGGACAAUCAACAAUCACGGACAAGGAGCAUUGCAUUAAAAACCACAGAAACAUUUUUUUUUCAACAAUCUCACUAUGAAAUAAAGAUUUUGCUGUGGAUGAGACUUGCUUUCUCCUGAACCCCUGGGUAUUUUGUGACAAUCAGUUCAACAGAGAAUUUCAACAAUUAAGAACAGGGCAGAAAUCAUCUUCUUGUUGGAAGUGAGGAAGGAAGGAAAGGAAUAAUUUUGUUGAGGGCACCUUUUUUAUCCCAAACUUAUCUUUAUGUGAAGGACUGUAUGAGUGAAUCGCAUGAAGAGUUGGAAGAGUUGUUUUGCAGAAUUUCAGAGUCUACAUUACUGAAGGAUUCCUGCACUUUCCUCUAAGAUGAAAUUUUUAUUCUGUUCCUGUUUGGAAAAUGUCACAUUUUGAGAUUUCUGAGCAAUUUUCUGUUUUGGCCCUGUUCCUUCUGACCCAGAGUAUAUGGAUAAAAGUCACUGCUACAGCAGCUGUAGAGGUGAAGGUGCCUGGACUUGGUGUUCUCUGUUAGGCCCACUCAUUCAGUGUACAGAGAUCCCCAUGGAGAUACAGAAGAAUUAAUAUAAAGGAUAUUCAGGGCAGCCAAAGGCAGGGUAAGGACUGAAGAGUCUUCCAUACUGUGAUGGAAAGAACAGCAUCAUCCCUAAAAGCAAUGGAACAAACAGCUCCAGCUUCUGCUUUACCUGCAGAAGUAGGUCCUGUUUAUACUGGAAAGAUCUACAGAUUACAGCAGAAGUUAACCACAGCUUACCUGAAAACUCUCAUCUAACUUGAGUCUAACUUGAUGGUAUCCAUUUUCAGGAAGCAGAUGCUGCCCUCUUUUACACCGGUGCAAUUCUGGAAUAACUCCACUGACGUCAGUGAAGUGAAAUUUAUCCCAGUUGAAAGCAGAAUUGGACCACAGUCUCAUCAUCUGCUUAUAUGCUAUGGUGCUCUCAGGAAGGUGCACCAUUACCAUACCAUAAGGUAUGAUUUGAAAGAGGGUAGCAGUGGUCAGCAUGCUCAGUGUGGAACAUGUCUUGUCAGCCAUGCUCAGAGCUGGACCUGUUGUGUGGGGUUUCAAGCAACAUGUGCAGUGAGGCUGGAUUCUGGAUGGUGCAAGGCUGUUGUGUCAGAAUGCUGCAAAAGACGUUGCAUCUCCUCCUCAUGGUGUUGGUGAAGUUUCCCUCUGUGCAGGGAAUACAGCAUUUAUGGACAGGAAACUGCUUUCCUUGCUUAGAG
rnacentral:lncRNA from 1 species